rnacentral:rRNA from 1 species
GAUCUGAAAUCAGGUAGGGCUACCCGCUGAACUUAAGCAUAUCAAUAAGCGGAGGAAAAGAAACUAACAAGGGUUCCCCUAGUAACGGCGAGUGAAGCGGGAAGAGCUCAAAUUUAAAAUCUGGUUUGCUUUGCAAAUCCGAGUUGUAGUCUGAAGAAACGUUUUCCAUGAAAGCUGAGGCACAAGUCCUUUGGAACAGGGCAUCAUAGAGGGUGAGAAUCCCGUCCAUGGUCUCAAGCCUUUCAUUUUGUGAUACGUUUUCUAAGAGUCAGGUUGUUUGGGAAUGCAGCCUAAAAUGGGUGGUAAAUUUCAUCUAAAGCUAAAUAUUGGCGAGAGACCGAUAGCGAACAAGUACCGUGAGGGAAAGAUGAAAAGAACUUUGAAAAGAGAGUUAAAAAGUACGUGAAAUUGUUGAAAGGGAACCGU